GGGCGUAAGAGCUCGUAGGUCGUUUGUCGCGUCGAUUGUGAAAAUCUGAGGCUCAACCUCAGACCUGCAGUCGAUACGGGCAAACUAGAGUGUGGUAGGGGAGACUGGAAUUCCUGGUGUAGCGGUGGAAUGCGCAGAUAUCAGGAGGAACACCAAUGGCGAAGGCAGGUCUCUGGGCCAUAACUGACACUGAGGAGCGAAAGUGCGGGGAGCGAACAGGAUUAGAUACCCUGGUAGUCCGCACCGUAAACGGUGGGCACUAGUUGUGGGAACCUUCCACGGUUUCCGCGACGCAGCAAACGCAUUAAGUGCCCCGCCUGGGGAGUACGAUCGCAAGAUUAAAACUCAAAGGAAUUGACGGGGCCCCGCACAAGCAGCGGAGCAUGCGGCUUAAUUCGACGCAACGCGAAGAACCUUACCAAGGCUUGACAUAUAGCGAAAAGUGGCAGAGAUGUCAUGUCCGCAAGGGCGCUAUACAGGUGGUGCAUGGUUGUCGUCAGCUCGUGUCGUGAGAUGUUGGGUUAAGUCCCGCAACGAGCGCAACCCUCGUUCUGUGUUACCAGCAUUCAGUUGGGGACUCACAGGAGACUGCCGGGGUCAACUCGGAGGAAGGUAAU
rnacentral:rRNA from 1 species